GCAGGCAGACGGGCGAUCGCGGCGUAUUCGCCGAGGAAAGUCCGAACUCCACAGGGCAGCGUGCCUCGUAGUGCGAGGGCCCGUAAGGGACGGAAAGUGCCACAGAAAACAUACCGCCGCGAUCAACGGUAAGGGUGAAAAGGUGCGGUAAGAGCGCACCAGCGGUCCGGUAACGGAUCGGCUUGGCAAACCCCACGUGGAGCAAGGCCAAAUAGGGAAACGCGGCGCCCCGAAGGGCCAGCCCGAUAGGGCGAAGCCUUGAUGGAAGUGCGCCAGCGGCGGCCCGUCGUAGUUUCCGGGUAGGCUGCUCGAGCUUGUGGGAAACCUCAGGCCUAGAUGAAUGAUCGCCACUCAGUCAUCCCGUGUGGGGGUACCGGCCAAAUGCCUGGAAGGAGGCCGCCGAAGGCGGUGUACCAACUACGGCUUGGCCGGUGGGCCCCACGCUAAAAGAUGGCUGGGUACAGAAUUCGGCUUACAGUCUGCCUGCCUUG
rnacentral:RNase_P_RNA from 1 species